UUCAGAAUAUCUCCUAUUAUAUAUAUAUCCACCAGACCCCGCUCCCUAAUAUAGCCAAUCCGCCAUUUGGCGGAUUUGUGCUAGUUUAGGGGGCGGGUCUGGCGGGUAUAUACAGUAAAGUAUUUCCCUAGGACUAUCCGUCCCCAAGUCAUCAGUAUGUUUACUAACUUACUAGUGUACUGUUAGUGAGUCAUCUGUUACCUCCAGGGAAGUGACGCAUAUGCCAUUAAUUAUAGUAAAAUACAGUACUAAGAACUGGGAUGGUAAUCAUGGCUGUUCCUGGAGGUGUACAUGAAAAUGUUAUCUUCACUGCAAGUGUCCCAAGUGAGGUGAAGACUCUGGUAAAGGCUUCACACAACAUGGAUAAAAUCGUCUUCAGGAAAUUGAUUAAACUUGGGCUAGGUUAUCUACAGGGAGGUGUGAUGCAAGAGGAUCAAGAAGCAGCCAUCAAAAACCUCUGUGACUCUACCCAACCAGUGACAGAGAAGGCAGUGUUGAUGACUUGCGUCCAAUAUGCAGGAAUUGUGUCCUUACUCCGGGCUGCAUUGAGAGUUAAUACUGUCACAACUCGUCAAGAUAUUCUUUUGGCUGAUCUUACAAAUUUUGGACUACCAGAAGAAUUUGCUUCAGAUGUUUGCAAGGUAGUUUUUGGUCCUGCCCGAUUGGAUAUUGACAACCAGCUUGUUUCUAACACUCCUGCGCUCCCAGUCAUGACAAAUCUUAAUUGGAGGGUGGAGGUCACAAUUUCAACCAGUUACCAGAUUGUCAGCCGAUUCUACCUCUCCGAUCGUCUGGCUGGGUGUUCUACGUGGAAGUCCGCACCUGUACAUUUGUCUAGGAUGGGGUGGCAACCCAGGCUGGCUCUCUCGAAAGGGCAGUUCAAAAGAUGUCUUUAAACUGCUCAGGGAACAUGUGAGCAUGAGGAUCGAGAAGACUGCAGUGGGAGCAGACCCUGAUGUGCGUCAUUGACCUGGGCCCGGGUGGGAUAAUACCUGUUAAAACUUUAAAAAAUAAAACUAACAGUGAAGAA
rnacentral:misc_RNA from 1 species